rnacentral:rRNA from 1 species
CCUACGGGAGGCAGCAGUGGGGAAUAUUGGACAAUGGGCGCAAGCCUGAUCCAGCAAUGCCGCGUGAGUGGUGAAGGCCUUAGGGUCGUAAAGCUCUUUUACCAGGGAUGAUAAUGACAGUACCUGGAGAAUAAGCUCCGGCUAACUCCGUGCCAGCAGCCGCGGUAAUACGGAGGGAGCUAGCGUUGUUCGGAAUUACUGGGCGUAAAGCGUACGUAGGCGGUUAUUCAAGUCAGAGGUGAAAGCCCGGGGCUCAACCCCGGAACGGCCUUUGAAACUAGGUAGCUAGAAUCUUGGAGAGGUCAGUGGAAUUCCGAGUGUAGAGGUGAAAUUCGUAGAUAUUCGGAAGAACACCAGUGGCGAAGGCGACUGACUGGACAAGUAUUGACGCUGAGGUACGAAAGCGUGGGGAGCAAACAGGAUUAGAUACCCUGGUAGUCCACGCCGUAAACGAUGAUAACUAGCUGUUCGGGCACUUGGUGCUUGAGUGGCGCAGCUAACGCAUUAAGUUAUCCGCCUGGGGAGUACGGUCGCAAGAUUAAAACUUAAAGGAAUUGA